rnacentral:lncRNA from 1 species
AUCUAAAAAGAGAAAUGUGAAAAAAUGUGAAAAAUUAAAAUACAAUUUUUACGCCGUUAAUCUUAGAAUCAACAAAUGCCUAAAGACAAAAUUAUUAAAAUUUAAUAUGUUUUACAUCAGAAACUCACUUCACCACUAACAAAUAGUAUUAUACAUACAAUAACACAUUAUUAAAAAGAUAAACACAUAAUAUAUUAACUUAUUACCUACUACUAUAUAACCUAAUAAAACAUCAAAUAAAUACUAACCACAUC